rnacentral:lncRNA from 1 species
GGACACACAAGCAAAAACGAUAAGAAGAACUUUGUGUAAGAUUCUGUACACCCAAACAGAGAGGAGAAGAACUUUGUGUAAGAUUCUGUCUACUCUAAUGGAAGGGAAAGCUAUUCUUCUUUGCCUCAUGGUGAUUUUGCAGCUCGGGAAUUCCAUUCAUGUUGGUACGAAAUCGCUCUCCCUUUCGAAAUAUAUAUUUCCUUUCAGGUAUCAACCAGAUUAGAAUAAUAUUGCCAAAAAAACUACACAAAUAUCUUAGGAAAUUUUAUCAAUGUGGGCUUAUUUUAAUUACGUGUGUUCUUCUCUACAGAGCAGUGCUUUAGUGGAGUUGUAUUUGGAGGUCAUGUAUGCACGGAAUCACAUUGUCGGUCCUCCUGCCAACAAAAAUGGGGAAAAGAAGUCGUGAACUCUUUCUGUAGGGUAGACAUCCCAGGCUUUUUCCAUUGUUACUGCAUUGUCUGUGACUCCUAGCCUUGCACUAGGGCAUGAUGUCCAAGCAUGGAUAAUGAUAGGUCCAGUAAUAAAUCAUCUUGUGACAUGCAUGCAAGAUCCCAUAAUGGAAAAUUCUAGGUGUUCUAUUUGAUCAAGGUUGUCUCCAGAAAUUUCGGGCUCCAGGCGAAAAUCAAAAUGGGGCCCAAAAUUUCCAACAGUUA